GUGUGUGUAUCCAGUGCCGAAGAUGGGAUGGUUCUCGAGUGACGAGAUCGUCACCAAUAACGCAACCUGUCCCCCGCAAGACAAUUAUCACUUGACACAGGCAAUAGCGCUCUGCGUACUAGCAGGUAUUGCUGUUGCAUACAUAGUGAUAAAGGCUAUAAUAAAGGCGAACAAACAUCACACAGUAAGAGUGGUUGAAAGAGCGGCUCGCGUGGCCAGCAUCAACACAGUUGGAAAGAUUCGGCCAACGUGAAUCCCGCGCUGGUCAAGAAGACAAAGUGAACGUGAUAUGUUAGAAAAGUGUUCGAUAUGGCAGAAAUGUUGAAACUAAUUAACGAGAUAUUUGCGAAACGAGACAAUGGGACAAUAUCCAUAACGAACUCUCGAUUGUCUAAGCAAUUUCUUCAGCUACUAAUCAAAGAAGAAUUUGUCGAAGUGCAAAAAGUAGCGUACAAUAAAUACAAAAUCAAGAAAGUGAUGGUCAACAACAUAGUGGUGGUCGAUCGAAGACCAAUGAAAGCGAAGUCCGUUCUAGAAUUCGCAAGUGAGGUUCUGCCGAGCAUCACUGGAGCAGUGGUGAUAUCUACAAACAAGGGCCUGAUGACGCACCGAGAAGCAGCCAGCAUCAACGCAGGAGGACGCAUACUGGCGGUAAUUUAUUAAGGUGGUGAGUCGAAAAAAUUUUUUUUUUCUCUAAUAAAUUUGUGACAUGUCCAAAGAAGAAUUAAUAAUUAUUGUAGAAAGUGUUAACAAAGAAUUUCAAAAUCUAAACAAGAAUAAAAAUCGUCCUAGGUCAACCGAAAAUGUUCAAGAAAAAACUCAGAAGCUAGUUAAUCUACUAAAAACUUAUAAAAUAAUUCUAACAAAACUAGAGAGUUCUCUUUCAAUUAAUGAGUGGAACAAUGAGUGUUUGAAAUACGCAGAAUUAAAAACUACAUUCCAAUCUUGUAUAAAAAUUCUCAAAGAGUCCAAGUUAAUCAAAAAUCCAAAUCGUUUUAAAUUAGCUGUUAAAUCCAUUAUCAAUCAAAAUCGUUUAAGUAAACUCAUCAAAAUGCCUACUGUUGACAUUAAGUUAGGGACAGCCCUGGUCCAAACUUAUGAUGGAAAUCCCGAUAAUUUAAAUGCGUUCCUAGACGCGGUAGAUUUAUUCAAAUCUACAACAGAAACGGAAUUUGAAGCGGCAACACCCGCGCAAAAACAAGUAGCAGGGGAAACAAUUUUCAAAUUUGUUAAAACACGUCUCACUGGGGUUG